AUCAGAGCAUGAAGCCUGCAUUCCACUCCAGGAAGUCUGAUUCCAGAGACCACACUAACGACAACUAGAAUAUAAGAAUUGGCAGCUUAAGAUAGUUCUGAAUAUUCCUUCAUUCAGAGCUUCUAGAAGAGAGUAGUAGAAGAACUUCUGUGGACAGAAAGAGAGAGCACACAAGUGGAGGGGGGAUGCAGAGGAAGAGGGAGAGAGAGAAUCCCAAGUGGGCUCCAUGCCUAUCAUGGAACCCAAUUCAAGGCUUGAUUCCACCACCUCAAGAUCACAACCUGAGCUGAAAUCAAGAGUCAGAUACCCAACCAACGAUCCACCCAGGUAGGCUCCACACUGGGGAGCCCAACUCUGGACUUGAAAUCACCACCCUGACAUCAAGACCUGAGCUGAAAGCAAGAGUCAGACCCUUAACUGACUGAGCCACCGAGUGCCCCCAAACAUUUGAAAAUAAAUUUCUCUCAGUCUUGUCCUGAUUGCUGGUAUCCUUGGUUCUUUUUAACCAUUACCAUACCAAAAAAUAAAUAAAUGAAUGAUUGAAUGAAUGACUAAAUAAAUAACAAUUGAAUCUAACUGCUUCAGUAAACCUUUUCGGAAUGCUUUCCAGUUUGUCAAUACUCCUUAAAAUACAAAACCUAGAACCAAACGCAGUAUAAUCUUUGUUGACUGACCUUUAUGUGUCAGACUAUUGUUACCCAUGAAUUGUACACUAUAUUUGUGUUGAUAUAGAUGCCUGGAAAUCUAGUACACAUUGAUAAUUCUUUUAUAUUAGUCUUGUAUCAAUUAAGACUCUAAGAAUCUUUUUCACGUGAAUCACCGCCCAGUUUGAUUUUCUUUGGGCUAUCACUAGAAAAUUGAUUUUUCUAAAUACCUAAAAACAAUGCUAAUAAUGCAUACUAUUAAAUGCAACUUAUAAAUGCAUAACAUAUACAAAGGAAAACACAUAAUCCAAACAUAUAUGUUAUAUAUUUAUAUAUACUAUAGUAAUAUAUAAUAAUUGUUGACAUUUUGGUAUAUUUCCUUCCACUUUUGAUAUUUAGAUAAUAGAAGCUGUACUGUACUGCUAUGGUCUGAAUGCUUAUGUCCCCCAAAACUCAUAUGUCAAAAUCCCGAUGUCCAAUGUGAUGGUAUUCAGAGAUGGGUCUUUUGAGAGAUGCUUAAGUAAUGAUAGUAGAGACCUCAUGAAUGGAUCUAAUGUUCAUAUGUAAGAGACCCCAGAGAGAUAGCUCCCUUGGCCUUUCUCCAUUGUAAGGAUACACUGAGAAGUC